rnacentral:rRNA from 1 species
UACGUAGGGUGCAAGCGUUAAUCGGAAUUACUGGGCGUAAAGGGUGCGCAGGCGGUUCUGCAAGUCAGGCGUGAAAGCCCCGGGCUUAACCUGGGAAUGGCGCUUGAAACUACAGGACUGGAGUAUGGCAGAGGGAGGUGGAAUUCCACGUGUAGCGGUGAAAUGCGUAGAUAUCGGGAGGAACACCAGUGGCGAAGGCGACUUCCUGGCCUGUUCUUGACGCUGAGGCGCGAAAGCUAGGGUAGCAAACGGGG